GCGAGUCUGCCUUGAAAUCGGAGUGCUUGCACUCUGUGAAACAAGAUACAGGCUAGCGGCGGACGGGUGAGUAACACGUGGGUAACCUGCCCAAGAGAUCGGGAUAACACCUGGAAACAGAUGCUAAUACCGGAUAACAACAGAUGAUGCCUAUCAGCUGUUUAAAAGAUGGUUCUGCUAUCACUCUUGGAUGGACCUGCGGUGCAUUAGCUAGUUGGUAGGGUAACGGCCUACCAAGGCGAUGAUGCAUAGCCGAGUUGAGAGACUGAUCGGCCACAUUGGGACUGAGACACGGCCCAAACUCCUACGGGAGGCAGCAGUAGGGAAUCUUCCACAAUGGACGCAAGUCUGAUGGAGCAACGCCGCGUGAGUGAAGAAGGGUUUCGGCUCGUAAAGCUCUGUUGUUGGUGAAGAAGGACAGGGGUAGUAACUGACCUUUGUUUGACGGUAAUCAAUUAGAAAGUCACGGCUAACUACGUGCCAGCAGCCGCGGUAAUACGUAGGUGGCAAGCGUUGUCCGGAUUUAUUGGGCGUAAAGCGAGUGCAGGCGGCUCGAUAAGUCUGAUGUGAAAGCCUUCGGCUCAACCGGAGAAUUGCAUCAGAAACUGUCGAGCUUGAGUACAGAAGAGGAGAGUGGAACUCCAUGUGUAGCGGUGAAAUGCGUAGAUAUAUGGAAGAACACCGGUGGCGAAGGCGGCUCUCUG
rnacentral:rRNA from 1 species